AGGACGAGAAGAUUUGCUUGCUAUAUGUAGCAAGUGCACCGAUGGUGCAUAACACACUUAUUGUAUGCGAGAAAUGCUUCGGAAAGUUCCUGAAGGUGAUUGGCUCUGUGAAGAAUAGAAGCUGGCUGAGGAAACUGAAAGCCAAAAGCAAGGUUUGGAUGCUGAGGG